AGAGUUUGAUCAUGGCUCAGGACGAACGCUGGCGGCGUGCUUAACACAUGCAAGUCGAACGGAAGAUAUUUGGAACGAUCUGCUUGCGGAGAGUGAAGGAUAUCUUUAGUGGCGAACGGGUGAGUAACGCGUGAGGAUCUAUCCUUGGGUGGGGGACAACAGUUGGAAACGGCUGCUAAUACCCCAUAGGCCGGAAGGUAAAAGGAGUAAUCCGCCGAAGGAGGAACUCGCGUCCUAUCAGGUAGUUGGUGGGGUAAGGGCCUACCAAGGCUGUGAUGGUUAGCUGGUCUGAGAGGAUGAUCAGUCACACUGGAACUGGAACACGGUCCAGACUCCUACGGGAGGCAGCAGUGAGGAAUUUUGCGCAAUGGGGGCAACCCUGACGCAGCAACGCCGCGUGAGUGAAGAAGGCCUUUGGGUCGUAAAGCUCUGUCAACCGGGAAGAAGUUACGUAUUAUGAACAGUGAUAUGUAUUGACGGUACCGGUGGAGGAAGCGCCGGCUAACUCCGUGCCAGCAGCCGCGGUAACACGGGGGGCGCAAGCGUUAUUCGGAAUUAUUGGGCGUAAAGGGCGCGUAGGCGGUUCUGUCGGUCAGAUGUGAAAGCCCGGGGCUCAACCCUGGAAGUGCAUUUGAAACAGCAGAACUUGAGUACGGGAGAGGAAAGCGGAAUUCCUGGUGUAGAGGUGAAAUUCGUAGAUAUCAGGAGGAACACCGAUGGCGAAGGCAGCUUUCUGGACCGAUACUGACGCUGAGGCGCGAAGGCGUGGGUAGCGAACGGGAUUAGAUACCCCGGUAGUCCACGCAGUAAACGAUGUUCACUAGGUGUAGCGGGUAUUAAAACCUGCUGUGCCGCAGCCAACGCAUUAAGUGAACCGCCUGGGAAGUACGGUCGCAAGACUAAAACUCAAAGGAAUUGACGGGGGCCCGCACAAGCGGU
rnacentral:rRNA from 1 species